CGGAAUAUGAUGGUGACUGCGGUAUUUUUUAUUUGUCUUUUUUUAUUUGUUAUUCUUCCAUAAUAAAACGUCACAUGAAACAAGAACCUCUACCUGUCAGCUAAAAUGUGUAAUACACAUUUAAAAUCUGAAAUAUUUCUGCAGUGACUCGGAUAAACCCGUUUCAGUAUAAAACUAAUUUUCACUGAGACUCGAAAACUGCUGCCACACAUUUACACAACAAUUAUUUAGUUAAUGUUUUAUCACCAAGCAGGACUGCAGGGGUUUGGAGAUCACUUUAAAGCUUAAACCAUUUCUAUUCUCUAUGAUCAGUAAACUGCUCCUAUUUAUUUACACAGGACACGCUACUGUGUGCGCAUGCGCAGCUCCUGUCACAUUGUGCCGACACACGCUGCUCCUCUGUGAUUGGGCGCCCUGCCGUCAUGUGACUCAGCGACUUAACGCGGAACCAGUAACAUCACUCACACACACCAGUAACACCACUCACACACUAACACAUCACUAACACACCAUAGUUACAUACUGAAUUUUAUUUCAAUUUUUUCCACUUUUACUGUUGAUUUUGUUGAAUAAUUCUCCAGCCAAGCUUUAGCAAUAUGAUUGUUUAUAUUUCACAUGCAAAUAAAGCAACCUUUAAAUCCUGAGAUAGAUGAUGUGACACAGAGGAGAUCAUACAUCAUGUGGGAAUAUUUUAUACCUGAAAACUGCAGUAUGUGUAAGAAGACUAUUCGGGCAAAAACACCAACUUAUACAAUAAAAAACAUGAAUAAGAGAACAUAAAAGUUCACGUCAUAACCGGUGACACUCUGCUCUCCAUUACAGGAAGAAAAACAGACAGACAGAAAGAGUUUGAGCUCUGAGAUCAAAAUUCCAGCAACAACAACAGCAACGAGAACAAGGAGAGUCACGACUACACCAACGAUGAUCCCAA